UCAUGUGACCAAACCUUUAUUUACGUUUAACAAGUGAAUGACUUUUAAUGUUAACAAACAACUAUCAUCCAUUUGUCUUGGUAUUGUGGUGCAUCCUAAAUGACAGAUUUUGUGAACUGAAGUGGAGUAGAAAUAGCCCUAGUUCACACUAUGAAGAUAGCAUGUCUCUAAAGAACAAGUGUAAACAGAUAUCAAGGCACAAACAUAUGUAAAAAGACUUGGAUUGAAAUAAAAAGUACAGAACGAUCCAUGUUAGGAACAGACAUAACCACUUAAAAAUUUUGCAGAUAUCUUAAAAGUGACACAUAACCAUUUAUGUUUUGUUUCUUUUAAGAAGUUACUUAAGGAAUGUUAAUCAGUUUGUGGGGAAUACAAGCUAAUCUAUGGACAAGUCAUGCAGAACAAUGCACUAUAGUACAAGAGUGAAUAUUGAUUCUGUGUAAACAUUGUACAAAAAACAUUUUCCCUUCAUCCAUUUUCAUUCUCCAUGCUUGUUGGUUUUCUUCUAAAAAAUAAGUUCUGUUUACAGUCAAAAGGUUCAUAAAAUGCCAGUUAACAUAAGUUAAUAGAAUUUUUAUAAAAAAAGGUUCAUUUGACUUUAUCCUUUUAUUAAAAUGCAAAAGUAAAAGGCAAAGUAAAAUGUAAACCUAAAAGGAAAACACAAUAAGAGAUCCAAAUAUAAAAGAACGCUCAAUAAGUCAAAUAAAUACCAAGAGGUUCCCCAACUGGUCCACGAAAAUGGAAAACAUGUUUUUUGUUUGUUUUUUUCCCCCAGUGUUUUGAUUUAGUCGUUUGGUAUAAUGAGAUUGCAGGUCUUAAUUGUGUCAAACUUUACUCUUACAACAAUCAUUUAUUGAAGGCCAGUUGGCCAACAUACAGUUACACAGUUUCCAAAUGCAAUUAAAAAAGCAGAUCUUUUCAUGUAAGUGCCUUAAUUGUUAUUUGAUUGCUUUUGUCAAAUUAGAAAGUUCUCGGUCAUAUAUGUGUACAAGUAACCCCUGAUAAGGAGCAGUAAGCUAUACAGUAUAUAAAAACAAUAACAACAGAUCAGACAGAUAACGUGAUGGUUGCAAAACAGUGAUUGUUAAAGUUCUUUCAGGUUCCCCCUCUAGGAAUCAGUUCUCUUAUGGUUUUCAUUAUGAAAAGCAGUAAUCAUUCAUGGCUAUUGCAGUCACUCAUGCAGUCUGUGUGCGUCGGGUUUUGUCCUGCAUGAAAAGACAAACAAGUAUACAUUCUUUAGACAAGUUAAUGUACAUAAAAUAAAAUGAAGAAAAAGAAGCUCUUGUUUCACGUUUGACUUUCUGAUUUCUAGUGUUGAUUGCAAAUUAAAUUUUUAGUGAAAAAAAUUGCACAGAUCUUGAGAAGUUAAAAAAAUGCAAUGUAAAAAGUAAUUUCACUCAAUUUAAAUCACAUUCAAAUAAGUCACUAUACAAAUUCAUGCUGAAAAACUCCCAAGUUCCCAAGUUCUGUCUUCCCUUUAAUUUUCUUUUCAGCAGACAUGAACUUAAUUUUGUAUCACAGCAAUGACAUUUGUCUUACUCUGGAUAAUCCACUGUUUACUAUUGCCGAACAACAAGGCAACCCACUU
ensembl:lncRNA